rnacentral:lncRNA from 1 species
GGCAACCUGCUCGGGUCCCCUGCCACACUAUGGAAGCUUUGUUCUUUUGCUCUUUGCAAUAAAUCUUGCUACUGCUUACUCUUUGGGUCCACACUGCCUUCAUGAGCUGUAACACUCACCGGGAAGGUCUGCAACUUCACUCCUGAGCCAGCGAGACCACGAGCCCACUGGAAGGAACAAACUCCCGCACGCCGCCUUUAAGAACUGUAACACUCACAGAGAGGGCCCGCGGCUUCAUUCCCGAAGUCAGUGAGACCAAGAACCAACCAAUUCCGGGCACGGGAUCAAUUGGGAUUAGAAUUUUAUCCUACUGCUAAAACAUAAAGCAAAAAGGCCAAAAGUGAUCUCACCUUUUCAGAGAAACGCACUUAAAUAGCAGCAGCAGGUGCCUCUCUUUUCUGAGCUUCCCUUCACCUGAAUGUGGUUCUGGUACUUAAAGGUACAUUUCUUUUUCUGCAUCCGCUGCUCUGUUAAGUGAUCACCACAUUCAUUGUUCUCGUUUCUAUUAUUUCUGAAAAAAAUCUUCAGGAUUCUGCUUGUGGGAGUGGAUGACAUUUUUACAGUGUUUACAGACACAAAAUGAACAAGAUGUCUGUGGCAACCCUCAGACCAUUGACGCCUUCUCUCCUAUGUAUCAAAUCACACAUUUGGACGUUGACUGAACCCUCACAUGUCAGAUGCUCAAUAUUGAGGUAUAGUAAAAGGGAGCAUGAACUUGAGAAAAUACGCUUUCAACACAAAGCUGUAAUAAUAUAAGGUCAAAUAAGAUUCUGCAUUGGAGAUAGAAAACUCUGAAGGAAGCUUUAUCUAUUCCAGAAUGUCAUAUAGCUGGUAUAAGGUAUGUACUCUUUUCAGAUUGGCUUCUUUCAUUUAGUAACAUGCAUUUAAAGUCCUUCAAUGGCUUGAGAACUCAUUUCUUUUUAGCACUGAAUAGUAAUAGUUCAUAUUCUAGAAGUACCGUAUUUUAUGUAUCCAUUCAUCUCCUAAGUGUAUCUUUGUUGCCUUCAUGUUAGGGCAAUUAUGAAUAAAACUACUAUAAAUAUCCAUGUGCAGGUUUUGUGUGAACAUAAGUUUGCAACUCCUUUGAGUAGACACCAUAGAGCACACUUGGUGGACUGAAUGCUAAGAGUAUGUUUAUUUUUAUAAAAAACUACCAAUCUCUUCAAAAGUGACUGAGCCAUUUUACAUUGCGACCAGCAAUAAGUGAUGCUUUUGUUCCACAUCCUUGCUAGAAUGUUGUGGUGUCUGUGUUCUAGAUUUUGGUUGUUCUAAUAGGAAUGAAGCAAUAUCUCAUGGUUGUUUUAACUUUUAUUUCCCUUUAUUAUGACAUAAGGUGGGAAUUAUUUCAUAUGUUUAUUUGCUACCUUUAUGUAUUUUCGAUAAUAUGUCUGUCAAGGCCCGUUUUUUAAUCAAGUGUUUUUGUUUUCUUAUUGUUGAGUUUUGAAAACUCUUGGUAUCUUUUAGAUAACAGUCCUUUAUUAUAUAUUUCUUUUGCAACUACUUUUUCCCAGUCUAUAAUGUCUUCUUGUUCUCUUGACAUUGUCUUUUGCAGAGCAGACAUGUUUAAUUUUAAUGAAAUCCAGCUUAUGAAUUAUUUUUUCAUGAAUCAUGCUUUUGAUGUAGUAUCUAAGAAGUCAUUACCAUAUCUAAGGUCAUCUAAGUUUUUCUGCUAUGCUAUCUUCUAAGAGUCCUAUAGUUUUGUGUUUUACAUUUAGGUGUGUGAUCUAUUUUGAGCCUGUUUUGGCAAAAGGCAUAAGAUCCGAUUAAUUUUUUGCAUGUGGACAGCCAAUAAGUACAGCACAAGAUCCUGAUCUUUUAAAACGUACUCCCAUGGGUUAUACUAUUUUUGAACCAAAACUAUUUAGCAGAUACAAUUUAACCCCACUGUAUAAAUAGAUUGAAAAAGUAAACCAACAAACCAUUUUCCACUUUUUUCUGUUUUCUCUCUGCUUCUAAUGCUGUACUUGAAUUGCUUUGCUACUCAGCAUCCUUUGACUUAUCAUUAAUCAGUUCCAAUGAAGAAGCUCAUCAUGGUCAGGUUUUAGUCAGAACUUAAUGCCCUUGUCUACCAAGUGUAACCUGAAGUCUUAUAGUCACAUCUCUCCUUUAUAUAUAAACUAUCAUCUAAAGAAAACAUCACUCUAUAUGUGAAUUUAUGUGUCUAUCUAGUUAAUUCAAAAUAAAUUAGAAAUAUAUGCAUACAUUUUAUGGAUCACACAUAAUAUUUAUCAAAUCAAUACACAUUUAACAAAAUGACUGUUAGUGAGAUUAUUCAUAACAUAUAAAUUGCCAGAACAAAAGAACCAUGUCUUAAAAUUUUCUGACAGAAACUUGACAAUACAUAGCAUCUAGCAAAGUUGUGGUCUCUUGAAAGCAUUUAGCAACACUUGUUAAACAAUCUGAUCUUUGACAAACCUGACAAAAACGAGAAAUGGGGAAAGGGUUCCCUAUUUAAUAAAUGGUGCUGGGAAAACUGGCUAGCCAUAUGUAGAAAGCUAAAAUUGGAUCCCUUCCUUACACCUUAUACAAAAAUUAAUUCAAGGUGGAUUAAAGACUUAAAUGUUAGACCUAAAACCAUAAAAACCCUAGAAGAAAACGUAGGCAAUACCAUUCAGGACAUAGGCGUGGGCAAGGACUUCAUGUCUAAAACACCAAAAGCAAUGGCAACAAAAGCCAAAAUUGACAAAUGGGAUCUAACUAAACUCAAGAGCUUCUGCACAGCAAAAGAAACUACCAUCAGAGUGAACAGGCAACCUACAGAAUGGGAGAAAAUUUUUGCAAUCUACUCAUCUGACAAAGGGCUAAUAUCCAGAAUCUACAAUGAACUCAAACAAAUUUACAAGAAAAAAACAACCUCAUCAAAAAGUGGGUGAAGGAGAUGAACAGACACUUCUCAAAAGAAGACAUUUAUGCAGCCAACAGACACAUGAAAAAAUGCUCAUCAUCACUGGCCAUCAGAGAAAUGCAAAUCAAAACCACAAUGAGAUACCAUCUCACACCAGUUAGAAUGGUGAUCAUUAAAAAGUCAGGAAACAACAGGUGCUGGAGAGGAUGUGGAGAAAGAGGAACACUUUUACACUGUUGGUGGGACUGUAAACUAGUUCAACCAUUGUGAAAGACAGUGUGGUGAUUCCUCAAGGAUCUAGAACUAGAAAUACCAUUUGACCCAGCCAUCCCAUUACUGGGUAUAUACCCAAAGGAUUAUAAAUCAUGCUGCUAUAAAGACACAUGCACACGUAUGUUUAUUGCAGCACUAUUCACAAUAGCAAAGACUUGGAACCAACCCAAAUGUCCAUUGACGAUAGACUGGAUUAAGAAAAUGUGGCACAUAUACACCAUGGACUACUAUGCAGCCAUAGAAAAGGAUGAGUUCAUGUCCUUUGCAGGGACAUGGAUGAAGUUGGAAACCAUCAUUCUCAGCAAACUAUCACAAGGACGAAAAACCAAACACUGCAUGUUCUCACUCUUAGGUGGGAAUUGAACAAUGAGAACAUUUGGACACAGGUAGGGGAACAUCACGCACUGGGACCUGUCGUGGGGUGGAGGAAGGGGGAGGGAUAGCAUUAGGAGAUAUACCUAAUGUAAAUGACAAGUUAAUGGGCACAACACACCAACAUGGCACAUGUAUACAUAUGUAACAAACCUGCACGUUGUGCACAUGUACCCUAGAACUUAAAGUAUAAUUAAAAAAAAAAAAAGAAAACUUGAAGACUUUGCCUCUGGGUCUAAAUCCUGGCUCUACCAUUUACCUAUUAGCUAUGAGACUUGGUGAAAUUACUUAAAUUCUUUGUUCCUCACUUUUAAAUGUCAAUAAUAGUAUUCAUGGUGUUGUUGCCAAGUGUUACAUAAAACAAUAUAUGAAAGUGCCUAGCACAGUGCAUAGUGUGUCAUAAACUUAGUAGGAGUUAGUUCUUUUUAUUUUGUAAGUCUGCUGCUUGUAUAUCUCAUUAUCUGUCAUAGCAUAUAUUAUGUCCAACCUAUAAUUUAAUCACAGAAAAAUUAAAAUGUGAGAUUCAAAACUCAUCAGAUAAAGUGUUAGUGCAGAGAAAAUAUAAAGUUAACAAUGAUGAUGAAACUUUUAAAGUCUUAGCAUUUUAUUUUAAAAUAUCUGCCCAUUGUAGCCUUUUGCUUUCUUGAUACCAUUUUGAUAGGUCUGACUCUUUUUGAAUGUUCUGAGAUAUGUAAGAUUUUGUAUAUAUUGGACAUCUUCACAACUCUAUUGAGCUGUUUCCUUUAUAGACAGAGACCAUGGGAUCUUAUUUCUCAGCUUCUCAGAAUAAAAUUUAGGUAAAAUCACUGAAAUGCCAAGGGAAAAGUUAAGAGAUGCUAUAGUUAGAGCUGUACUGUCCAAUAUGUAGUGUUUGGCAGCAUUUGGCUAUUUAACCUUGGAAUAUGGCCAGUCCAAAUUCAGAGGUACUGUAAGUUUAAAAUGUAUGUGAGUUAGUAUGAAAAGGUAUGAAAAAAUUAAUGUAACCACCUCAAUAAUUUUAUAGUAAUUAUAUGUGAAAUAAUGCUUUUGAUAUAUUGGGUUAAAUAAAAUACAUUAUUAAAAUUAAAAAAAAUUAACUAAUUUAGAAUGCAUGGGGGGAAAAGCAAAUAUUGAAAUACAAACUGAGUAAAAGGAAUAAAAAGUUCUAAAAAGUACUAAAGCAGUAUUGUUCGAUAGAGCUAUGAUGAUGGAAAUGUUCUAGUGGCUAAUAGCAUUUGUAUAGGAUAGUGCAAAUCAAGGGUUCAUGAACUAGAAUUGAUUAUCACGUCACUGAUAAGACUGCAGGGCAAUUUUAACACUUAAACUCAUUAUAACUGUUUGAAUUUACUUCCUGAUUGAAAUAUUUAGCAUACUGUGUUGAUAACCAUGUAACUAAUAAUUUAAAAGAACAGAAAAAUCAUAUUAUAAAACUACAGAUGGAUAGGCUCAGUGGCUCACACCUGUAAUCCCAGCACUUUGGGAGGCCAAGGUGGGUGGAUAAUCUGAGGUCAGGAGUUCGACACCAGCCUGGCCAACAUGGUGAAACCCCAUCUCUACUAAAUAUAUAUAAAACUAGCCAGGUGUGGUGAUGGGCGCCUAUAUUCCCAGCUACUCGGGAGGCUGAGGCAGGAGAAUUGCUUGAACCCAGGAGACGGAGGUUGCAGUGAGUCGACACGGUGCCACUGCACUCCGGCCUCAGCAACAAAGUGAGACAAUGGGGAAAAAAAAACCUACAGGAAUAAAGAUUGAAUGGCAAAUUUUCUAGACUCAGCAAUUAAUAUCACUGUGAUCCUUUCCUCUUUAGAAAUUGAGUAUAAAUAACAUUUCAGAAAUUAUGGAUAGUAUUUAUCAUUCUCAAUCACAGAUAUACAAAUAAUAAGCCUUUCCAAUUCUUUUUGUGUUUUUUUUUUUUUUGAGACGGAGUCACCCAGGCUGGAGUUCAGUGGCGCGAUCUCAUCUCACUGCAAGCUGCAAGCUCCGCCUCCCGGGUUCACGCCAUUCUCCUGCCUCAGCCUCCAGAGUAGCUGGGACUACAGGCGCCCGCCACCAUGCCCGUCUAAUUUUUUUGUAUUUUUAAUAGAGACGUGUUAUCCAGGAUGGUCUCGAUCUCCUGACCUCGUGAUCCGCCCACCUUAGCCUCCCAAAGUGCUGGGAUUACAGGCGUGAUCCACCGCCCCCGGCUAAGUCUUUCCAAUUCUAUUGAGUAUAACCAUGUGGUUAUGAAAAUGUACUCUGGUGACAGACUUUCUUUUAACCCCUAUACUCAUCUAUAUAUAGUUUCUAGUUGAAGCUAUAUUUUAAAAUGUACCCUCUGCACAUUUUAACAAAAUAACGCAAUCUGGUUAUAAGUUGCAUUACUUAAUGUGCUUUGUCAUUUCAAUGACACAAAAAAGGGUAACUGUACUUAUUUAGAAAAUAUCCUCCAUAUGAAUUUUACAAGAAAUUGUUCCCUUUGCCCAUCCAAGGAACAUCUGGAGCAGAGCGCCCCUUGUGCAUGAGAAUUUGUAAAGUUUAUGAGAUAUGCUCCAGAGAAGCAGUUCUUAAGUUGUGAUGUAUACAUCCUAGAGUGUAUUCAUUGGUAUAACAAACAGAAAUUUGGGGAAUUUUAUGUUUUUUUUUUUAAUCUCAUGCUCUUCAAUUACUAUAUUUUUGUUUUAAAAGCAAAUAAUAAAUUUGUUUACUGCAUAUCAUGUAAUUUACAAACGUAAUUAAAUACACGUAUAUUGAGAUACAAACUCCAAAAAUUUAGCUUAUGAAAUGUGAAAUUUUGAAAUCAUUGACCAAUAUCACUCCAUUGAGAUAGCACAAGCCUUCUAGUUAUUAAUACUUUGGUUUGGUAACAGGAAACAUUUGUUUUUCUUCUAUGUUCACCAAGCCAAAUUUACACACAAAAGCCUCUUGAACUUUUAUUAUUCAAUUUGGGUAUUUUUCAGUCUCUUUCUUUCCAUAUUUUGUGUUUCAGUGUUUUACAUCUGAAAAAUAAAAUAGAAGAUACUGAAAAACUAGGCAUGGAAGCCUACAAGCCAAAGAACAGACUAUAAGCCAAUAGUAGAAUUUCUAAGGUAGCAUAUUCUCUAAACUGUCACUCAAAGUUUCCACUACAAAGGGACACAUUAAUCUGAAACACAAUUCUAUAUAUUUCUAAAGAGCUUCCUCAAAUUUAGCUAUUUAUUUAUGUAAUGGUCCCCACCACUUAUUUGCCUCAUGUGUCCAAAUUUUUUAGUUCUCCAGGGAUGAGUUCACAUUCUACUUUUCCAGAAAAAGUUACUUUAGUGCUUCCUAUCUUAGGCCAUGGUAUUGAAUAUUUUUGACUAAUCAUCAAAACAAGAUACUAUUGUUUUCCAGCAAGGCAUAAUAGUGUGAAAAAAAAAUUUGGAAGAAAAAGCAACAAAUAUUACUUUCACUUCUGCCACAUAUUCUGGUAUUUGGCAAUUCAGCUAAUAUGAGUCUCAAAAUUCUAGUUAUUUAUAUGUUUUUUAGUUAUUAUAUACUAGGAUUCUUUUGUUUCACCAAAUUUUCAAAAUAACAAUAAAAUAACACUAUUCAUGUGUGUAAUCAGUCUUUGCAAUAUAUCAGCAAUGCAGAUCCAAUUAUAAUCAACCACUGGAGUGUCAUGUGCCAAAUAUAACUUUGAAAUAUUAUCAUGUUUUACGUUUACUGCUGAAAGAGAUUAAUCUGGACUAAGAAUUCUGACUUCAUAGCUGCAGUCUCCUGAGAGGCUCUGUCAGAAACAGACUAAUUUAGUUUACUGCAAUCAAAAACAAAUUAUGUCAUCUCUAAAUUUGUCUUCCAAAUGACCAUGAGGAGAAGCAGCAUUGUUUCUAAAAACACUAGGGACUGAAACUCCAAACAAGAGAAAGUUGGUAUGCUGCAGAAAGAAGAAUGUUUAGUUUCAACAGUGCAAUUAACACCCAAACCUUAGGCAAUUAUGUAGCAAAAUAAAUAUGACUAUAUGCAAAUAUAAAUAUGACUAUAACUUCAUAGCUAAACACUAGAAAUAUCCAAAGAAAAUAAAGCGGCUAACCAGUUCAAUUAAUCAAGGCUCUAUAACCAAUUUUAACAAUGUUUGCAAAUGAACACUCUCUUUUUGGUAUAUCAUUGCAAUAAAAAUAUUUUAAAUAAAAACAAAAUUAGGCUUUCACAGGUAUUGUUAUUUUCACAUAGCUUGUAUUUUUCAUAAAAUCCAAAAUAUUUUCAUAUUUCUUAUCAAGCCAUUACUCAUAAUUUUUAUACUCCUACAAAAAGCACAAAUUAUUAUUAUGUUAUAGAAAUACAUUUUUUUAAACGUGAUGCCUCAUGAUAGGAAAAGUAAAUAACUUAUGAAUUAAAAACAUGAAAGGAAAUCACUAAGUUAGGAGUAAAGCAAAAUUUCGUAUCUAAGUUCUUGGGAUCUGGGCUAUAUCCCAGAAAUAUAAAAUAUUGAAAUCAAGAUGUGAGUUCAAACAAAAGAAAAAAAUAAACGUCUAGCAGUUUUGGGAAAUGUAUUACUGACUCCUGUAAAAUGGAAUGCAUUUUCUAAGAGAAGUCAUAAGCUAUCACAGACAUAGAACAUAUUUAUUUAUCAAGUAUGGAAAAUAUGUGAAUAAUGAUGCAAGAACAUGGGAAAGCAGAUAUUGCUUUGACAUACUGAUUUCAUUUCCUUUGUGUAACUACCCAGUGCUGGGGUUUCUGGGUCAUAUGGUAGUUCUACUUUUAAUUUUUUUUGGGAACCAUUAUACUAUAUUUUUCAUAAUGAUUGUACUAAUUUACAUUAUGACUAACAGUUUUGUAUAUGGAUUCUCUUUUCUCUACAUCCUCUUCUAACUUGUAAUCUUUUGUCUUUUGGACAAUAGACAUUCUAACAGGUAUUAAGUGAUAUCUCAUUGUGGUUUUAAUUAGGAUUUUCCUGAUAAUUACUUAUGUUGUGAAUUUUUUUAGAUACCUUUUGGCCUUUUGUCUGUCUUCUUUGGAUAAAUGUAUAUUCAUGUCCUUUGCUCAUUUUUAAAUCAGAUUGUUUUCUUGGUAUUCAAUUGAGUUCCCUAUAUAUUUUGGAUAAGAACUAAUUACCAGAUAUUAACUAAUUUGUGUGGUUUGCAAAUAUUCCCCCCCAACAGACUUAUUUAUUAAGUAGAGGAAAUAUCUAGAUGUUUUCUAAACCACCUACUAACUGUUGGAUACUAUAUUAAUAUAAUUAAUUUUUGAUCUUUUUAUAAAACUUAUCUUACUGUUUUUCAAGGUAAUUGUAGCCUCUUGUCUUUAGAAUGAGUCAUUAAACACACACAAAAGUUAAAAACAAUCAUAUUUUUUAUACAAUUAAUUAAGUGUCUUUGAAACACGUCUAACAAUAAAUGAUAGAAAUAUGAAGGGAAAAGAUUUAUGUGACAGUAAGUAUGGCUGUAGAAAAUCUAAAAUGGCUUGAUUGCGAAGUGUAAAUAGUAUGCAACAAACAAAGCUAAAAAUAGAAAUUUAAUUUUAAAUGAUGAGGGAAAAGUCAUAUUAUUAGUUUUCAAAACGUAUUUGAGAGUCACAGUAAAUAAAACUGCAUGAUUAUAAUACAAUAAUACACAAAUAGAAAAGGGAAGUGAGUUUUGUGUUCUUUAAAAUCCAUGGGGAAUGAAUAUAUUGCUUAGAUGUUGUAAUAAACUGAGACUAUUUCUUACAUGUUCAGAAACAUUCAAAAACUUACUAAAAUCAGGUUGUGUGAUGCCUCCCAAUUUGUUCUUUUUGUUUAGUCUUACUUUGGCUAUGCAGGCUCUUUUUUGGUUCCAUAUGAGUUUUAUAAUUGUUUUUUCUAACUCUGUGAGGAAUGAUGGUAGUAUUUGAUGGAGAUUGCAUUGAAUUUGUGGCUUGCUUUUGGCAAUAUGGUCAUUUUCACAAUAUUGAUUCUACCCAUCAGUGAGCAUGGGAUGUGUUUCCAUUUGUUUGUGUCAUCUAUUAUAUCUUUUAGCAGUGUUUUGUGGUUUUCCUUGUAGAGGUAUUUUGACUCCUUUGUUAGGUAUAUGCCUAGGUAUUUUAUUUUUAUUUUUUUGGCAGCUAUUGUAAAAGAGGUUGAGUUCUUGGCUUGAUUCUCUGGUCACUAUUGAUGUAGUAGAAGAGCUACUGAUUUGUGUACAUUCAUCUUGUAUCUGGAAACUUUGCAGAAUUAUUUUGUCAGUUCUAGGAGCUUUCUGGAGGAGUCCUUAGGGUUUUCAAGGCAAACAAUCAUAUCGCCAGCAAACAGGGACAGUUUGACUUUCUCUUUACUGAUUUGGAUGCCCUUUAUCUCAUUCUUUUGUCAGAUUGCUCUGGCUAAGACCUCCAGUACUAUGUUGAAGAUCUGAUUUCAAACUAUACAAUAAGGCCAUAGUCACCAAAAUGGCAUGGUACUGGUAUAAAAAUAGGCACAUAGACCAAUGGAACAGAAUAGAGAGCCCAGAAAUAAACCCAAAUACUUACAGCCAACUGAUCUUUGACAAAGCAAACAAAAACAUAAAGUGGAGAAAGGACUCCCUUUUCUCAAAAUGGUGCUGGGAUAAUUGGCUAGACACAUGCAGGAGGAUGAAACUGGAUCCUCAUCUCUGACAUUAUACAAAAUCAACUCAAAAUGGAUUAAGGACUUAAACCUAAGAACUGAAACUAUAAAAGUUAUAGAAGAUAACAUCAUAUACAUCAUAUAUAUCAUAUAUGUGUGUGUGUGUGUGUGUGUGUGUAUAUAUAUAUAUAUAUAUCUCACAGUUAGGAAUACUACUCAGCCAUAAAAAGGAAUGAAUUAACAGCAUUUGCAAUGACCUAGAUGAGCUUAGAGACUAUUAUUCUAAGUGAAGUAAAUCAGGAAUGGAAAACCAAACAUUGUAUGUUCUCACUGAUAUGUGGGAGCUAAGCUAUGAGGACGCAAAGGCAUAAGAAUGAUGCAAUGGACUUUGGGGUCUUGGGGAAAAGAGUGGGAGGGGGGUAGGGAUAAAAGACAACAAAUAUGGUGCAGUGUAUACUGCUCGAGUGAUGGGUGAACCAGGUUCUCACAAAUCUCCACUAAAGAACUUACUCAUGUAACAAAAUACCACCUGUACCCCAAUAACUUAUGGAAAAGUAAAAUUAAAAAAACUUACUAAAUAUUGAGCACUAGAAGGAUGCUUAAAAUAUCUGUGGCCAAUUUAGACAAUUUGGUAUUAUAGAAAAGAUUAAAAUAAUAAAGUAUGUCUUUGUGCUUCAACCUAGAAUAUCUUCAAAAUAUAAUGUUAACUGAGUAAAAGAAAAAGUAGAACACAAUGAAACAUAAUUUCAUUCUGAACAAAUAAUAAAUGAAUCAAAACUAUUUUAUUUGUAUGUUUGCAUGUAUGUAAAAAUAUUGAAGUAAUUCUAAUAAAUAAUCAUCAAAUUUUGAGUGAGAGUGAAAAAGGUGGUUGAAAGAUUAUUUAAAAUUUACUCCAUAGAUUUUUUUUAAUUGUUCACAUUUUAAAACAAUAGUAUAUGUAACAAAAGAGAUUUUAAGUGCUGUGGUGAGCUACUGGAAAAAUACUGGAGGACAUUAGGGCGGAGCUUGUUCAAAGUGAUCAGGCCAUCUAUAUUGUGUAAUGGCUGAUUGUUUACAAAAGGCUUCUACACUCCCUUGCAUAAUUGGCGACAGGGGCUCUUUCUUUCUUAGAGCUUUGUUGAGCUGUAAUAGAUUAAAAAAAAAACUGCACAUAUUUAAUGGCUACAAUUUGAUAAUUUGAACAUAUGUAUAUACUUAUGAAACCAUUACCACAAUUAAGGUUAUAAUCAUAUCCAUAACCUCCAAGAGCUUCUCUAUGCUCUUUCUUGUGUAAGUAUUUUUUCUUGUUGUUUUUGCAUGCCUGUGUGUAUAUGUUUAUGCGUGUGUGUGUGUGUGUGUGUGUGUGUAUUACAAACACUUAACCCAAGAUCUUCCCUCUUGACAAAGUUUUUAAGUGUAUAAUAUAGUGUUGUUAAGUAUAGUCACCAGGCUGUACAGCAGAUCUCUAGAGCUUAUUAUCUUAUCUAACUGGAACUUUAUACCCAUUAAACACCUUCCACUUUCCUCCUCCCUCAAGCCCCCAGCAACAACCAUUCUACUCCCUUCUAUGAGUUUGACUAUUUUAGAUAUCUUAUAUAAAGAAAAUGUAGCAUAUGCAUACAGUGAAAUAUUAUUCAACCUUAGAAAGAAGGAAAUUCUUCCAGGUCUGACAACGUGGAUGAACCUGGAGACCAUUAAGCUAAGUGCAAUAAGCCAGUCACAAAUGACAAGUAUAGCAGUAUCUUCCUUGAGAAAGGGGUUUCUGGGUUGUGGAACUGGCCAGAGACUAGAAUAAGAUGUACAUCUUAAAGGGGAAAAGAAAGUGUUCAUAAUUGCAAGUUUUCUGCAAGUAGAUGUUUGGGAGUUCAGGGGCGUACAGUCAGGAAGAAACCUGUCUAAAGUUUAGCCAAACUGAGAGAAACAAUGUUAAGGCCUUCUUGGUCAAUACUAUUUGUGUCAACAUUCCAAAGUGAGGUUUUGACUUGAAAAUAAGCAAACUUUCCCAUGAGGACCUUACACAAUAUUUUUCUCACUCUACUCUUUUCUCCAUCUCUCCGUAACAGAGAAAAACAUUGGGAAAUUAAUCUACUAUCAAUGUACAGAAAGUCAAUUCUUAAAUAUAAGCUGUAACAAUAAUGAAACAUAAUAUUGUUUAAGUUUACCCAGGUUAAGAAACAUUCCACCUAAGUUAUCUGAUCAGCAGUUUUCAAGCUUGAGUCCAUUAUUAUAUUAAAUUGCAGAGUUAAUUGUUGCGAGUUUUUCUAAGUGUUUUUACCUAUUACCUACUGUAAGGAAUCCAUUAUUUGUAUUAAAAAAAUAAAAAGAAAACAUUGAUUUAAUUCUGUUAUAUCUAUGUAACUUUGAAAAGAUAUGCUAUACAGAUAAUUUGUAUGUAAGAAUACCCUGACAUAUAUACCCUCCUCAGUAGUAUGUAGGUCAUGGACAAUGCCUUUCAUUUCUAUACCACAAUGAAUUAAGUCAAUGCCUCACAGGUAGUGAAAACUCCAUAAGAAAUGGCUGAAUUCACAAAUGAAUGAAUGAUAAACUGGAUAUUUGGUGUGAUAUUAGUUGUAGGAAGAUUAUUAUUAACUCUCAUAGUAUUAGUUAAAAGCCUUGUUAUUGUAUGAAAAAUUAUAUCUCUUGAUUUAACAAUUUAAAGGGUUGGAAAAUCCUCUUUAGUGUUUAUUUAAAAAGCUCCUUUGUACAAACAUGGACUUGACCUUUAAUAGUGUAGGAGUCAAUUUUAUGAGAAAAAAAUAAGUGAUCAUUAGAUUAGAAUAUUCUUUUACUUCUAAAUUAUAGCCUUUUCCUCUAUUAUUGUGUUGGAUAUUAUUUAAAUUCCUCUUUAGAUUAAUAGGUGGCCAUUUGCAAUAGAAAAUAUUUUGACAGAUUGAAAGAGCUUUCGAUUUUCUUUUGGUAACAAUUUUGAAAGGACUUUUUUUUAGAAAAAAAUGCAUAUAGUCCCCCACUUCUAUUGCAACACACUUUGCUAAACAUAUUAUGAGUAACAAUCACGUGGUUGUAAGAACACAGCACAUAUGUUUAUUUCAUAUGUAAUAUCUGAUACGUUACCAAACAGCAGUUCCUGAGAGAUACCUUUUUAUACGUUAUCAUAUUCCAUUAUCACAAUUAACAGUAUCUGCAUUUUAAUGGAAGGGAAAACUAGUUCAAAUAUGUCAUUUUACUGUAUCCAGGUUACAAAGCUAUUAUGUUUCGGAGCUAAGAUUUGAAUGCAAAGCAGUUUGUUCCAAGACUGUGCCAUUCCUUAAAUUACCUAUCUCUACUCUUGGUUUUGUUCAUGAAAUUAUUGUGAGAAAAUAGUGCAGAUACUCAGAUUUCUCUUCUGUUUGUAAUCAUUAAGAAAUAAGUGGUUAUCAAAGUCUGUAUGUUUCCCAAGCACUUCGGAGAAAAGAACUUACAUGAAAUCUCUCUGAUCUCUAUCUUCAAUAAGUUUAUAAUGGCCAGAGAAAUAAGGCAAAAACAAAUGUAAGAGGCCUAUCAAUAUUUUAAAACUAAAGCCUAUAGUGGUUAGUUUCACAGGCUCAAAGAACAAUAAUUAAAAUCAAGUUGGAGAAGAGGAUCCAAAAUGAAAAACACACAAAAGCAAAUGAACCUAACAUAGUACAAAUGCAUAUCAUAAUUGCACACAAAAGAGAGUGGAGGUAGUGAAGAAAAGAACUAACUUAAGUAACUUUGGAAAAUGGUAUUUUCUCUAUAUCUGAUAAAACUAAAAGAAAGAACUAUAAGCAACUGUGUUGUUGCAGUAAGUAGCUUGCUUUGCAUGGGGUAUAGAUUAGCAAUUCCACAACUAUUUAAUCUAUAUUCUAGAAUUAAACAAACAAAAUGUGGAUAAUAAGAGGUAGAUUUUUCACUGUCAGAUAAAGCAGAUAAAAAUUUAAAAAUGAAGGCUAAAAUAAACCUUGUGGACCAGGUGUCAGUGUGAACUCAGGUGGAGGGAGGGGAGGUGGGGGAGAGAGAGAGAGAGAGAUGUGUGUGUAUGUGUAUGUGUAUGUGUGUGUGUAUGCAUGUGUGAUGCAUUUAUCUCUAUUCCCUGAGAAGACCGAUAAGUAGUGACAACUCAAUGAGUAUAUCUAAGACCUGGAUAUUAUUUUGUGAAUUUCCAUCUCCAGAAUUAGAAACCAGACUCAUUGGAGAAAUGGAUAAUUGCAGGAGUAGCAUACAAAUGUUCAAAAUGGAACUAGAACCAAUAUAAGAAUGGUCCCAAAACGUAUGAAAGUAUUCAAAGCAUGAUGAAGUUGUGUAAUAGAUAGAAAAUCAAUUUAAGAGGUUCAUAAUGUCCAACCAAACAUGAGACAAUAUGAGCCACAAAAGAUAAUGGUCCAUACUAGAGUAUUACACAAAAAAUAAAAUCAGAAUUCAUGAAUCUACACUAAUGUACAUGAGCAAUGUAAUGCAUACUUUUUUUAAAAAAUAAGGGAAAUUUCUUUAUUAUAGUAGUAUUACAACUAAUGUAAAAUAUAGUAUAAAUUAAAAACCACCAUUUGACAAACAUUAUGGUAAUAGGUAUAACAUGAAUUUUAUCAAUGGAUGGUAAAAAUAAUUGAAAAUUAUGGUAAGAGAAAAAUUUCAAAGAAUCUCAGCAAAACAUAUUUUUAGUUAAAGUAGAAAUGUUGUUAACAGUGGAGAAACUUAGUGGACAACCCCAUAACCAAAUAACAAAAUUAACACAACUAACAAUGGCACAUCUGAUGCCUUGUGCCUGCUGAUAUGAUGCCCUGAGAAAUAAUAACUAAGAAAUAUCACACAAGUUCAAAUUCUACAAAAUAAGUGGCCAAUAUUUUCAAAAAUGUAAAAAUCAUAAUAUUUUUUAAAAGACUGGGAAAACAAAAAAUAAAGGAGAAUGAAAAAGCAUGACAACUAGAUUUAAUCCUAGACAACAAAAAGUACACUUGUAAAACAACUAUUAAAAGUAAAUUAAGUCUAGAGAUUAUAGUAUUGUAUCUAUGUUAUGUUUCCGGCUUUCAUAUUUGUACUGUGGUUUUGUAAUAAGUUUUUAAAAAUAUGAUAUACAAGUAACUAGAACUGUUUCUUUUUGUUUUGCUUUGUUAUUUUCUUUCUACUUUUAUUUUAAAUUCCAGGAUAUAUAUGCAGGAACAGAAUUGUUUUAAUUGAUUUUGCAAAAUUUUUGAUCAUCAUCUGAAAUUCUUUCCAGAUAAAAAACUUAAGAAAAAAAGAUCUAAAAUAAUUCCUUAAUAUAUGCUGAGUCACAUUUUAUCUGCUUCAUGUUAAGAAGAGAGAGAUAAAUACAUAGCCAUUUUGAAAGGCUUUCAUAAAAGAGGUAGGACUAAUGGGUGCCUUAAACAGAGAAAAUAGAGUAUAUAUAUGGAAUCAUAUAAUGAAUGCAGAAAUAGAUAUAGAAUAUUUGAAGUUGCUGAGGGUACAAAUGGUAUCCAAAGAAUAAAUUAUAUUGGUGAGCAUAAAGAUAACAACAACCAAUUGACCACCUGUAACAUUUUUAACUUAAUUUGAUAGACUGCUUACUAUAUAUAUAUAUAUAUUUUUUUUUUUUUUUGAGGCAGGGUCUUGCACUGUUGUCCUGGCUGGAGUGCAAUGGCACAAUGUCAGCUUACUGAAACCUCUGCCCCCCAGGUUCACACGAUUCUCCUGCCUCAGCCUCCUGAGUAGCUGGGAUUACAGGCACACACUGCCAGACACAGCUAAUUUUGUUUUUAUUUAUUUAUUUUAGUAGAGAUGGGAUUUCACUAUGUUGGUCAGGCUGGUCUCGAACUCCUUACCUCGUGAUCCAUCCAUCUCAGCCUGCCAAAGUGUUAGGAUUACAGGCGUGAACCCCUGCAUCCGGCCUCCUUACAAUAUUUUUUAUGGUCAAAAGUGAAUGUGUGUGUAUACGUUGUUAUAAAGAAUGUUUUCAUAAAUGGUUAAUAUUUCGCAUACUCAAAAAAAUAACUAAAAUGCACAAGGAAGAGAUGGAAAUCCAACAUGGAAAUCAAGUGAGUCCACUGAAUUGAUGGAAAAGAAUGGACAGGAUGAAUCUAAGUAACUUUUGAUCUUGUUUUAAUUUUGAGUUAUUUAAAAAAAUAAAUAAAAUUCUUAGCCAUCUCUAUGGCAGACCUAGUUAGACAUAUAAUAUUAGGUUUGUCAGUAAACUUAGGAGGCCAUGUAGUAAUGAACAUAAUCCUGAAUUGGUGGUUUUAAGAACAGAUUUCAUGUUCCUCAUUUUCCAUACAGGAUAUGACAUUGGCCGGUGUUUUGAUGGAUUUGAGUCUCUGUUUUUUACUAAAAUGAAAGUAGUGUGACGAAGUAAUAAUAACACUGAAUUUAGAAAUAAAACCAACAUGCAAAUAUAUGUAUUUGCAUGUUUCUUGAAAGUUAUUGUAAACUUAUACUUUUAUUGUCAGAAUCUGAGUGACUGUGUUUGUAAAUGGGAAUGAUUAUUAUGAACCACAGGAAAUUUUUUUUAGAGUCAAAUAGGUUAAAUGUGAGAUUACUUUAUAAUGUAUGAAACAAUAUGCAAACAUAUAUUUACAGCACUGGUGACUUUUCAAAAAUAAGUCCCCUGACUGCAGAAAAAAAAAAGCAUCUUACGUUUUUUCCUAACUCCAGUACUGAUCACAGUGCCUAGAUUGUAGCAUACAUUCAAGUAUCAUUGAACUGCCUGUACAUAUUAAAGCAUGGAAUUAGGUAUUUCAAAAUAUAGAAAUAAUGUAAAACCUUAUAGGAUGCAUAUACUUUUUGGCUUUAGUGAAUAGAUUAUGCUUCAAAAAGUAUUAUUAAUAUUUUAUAGACAUUUUGUUAACCAGAAAACUCUUACAUUCUUGCCCAUAGCAAUUAAGGCAUUGUCUACUUAAAUCAGUAAAUGUUGGUACAUCAUAACUCCACAGUAAGAUGGUUUUAUUUAAUGGUUCCGUCACACUCUGUUGAAUGUAGUGCUUUUUAUGAGAUUACCCUAUUUUUAAUUGUUUCAUUCACUCGGAUCUUCAGAGACAAUGUAGAUAGGAAUUUAAAAAUCACAGUUAAAUGAAUAUCCUUGUAACUUACAUUUAGUAUGUGCAGGUAUUCAAUGUUUAAGCUUCCAUUUAAAUGUCUUUUUUUGGCAAUUCUCAAAGGAAAUAGAGUAUGUGACACAUGUAAGCCAGCCACAAACUAUAUUAGUUUUAGAAGAUAACUAUAAUAUUUAUUUGCAUGAUUCAUUUUUACUUAUAAAAUAGUUAUACAAUUGUGGACAUAUAUAAUGCUCUAGAGACAAGAAAUAGCUUAUAAGUAUGUUUUCAGAAAUUUGAAUGUAAUUUCAUUUUGCCUAGACCAUUUUCUGAGCUGGCCCAUACUGAGAAAAACAUAUAUGAAUUAUUUAAUGACAUGUUUUCAAUACUGCUUUUAUUACAAAACAUGAUAAACAAAUUUUACUUCCCGCAACAAAUAAUAACUUGCUCAAUAUGCUUUUGUAGUAGAAUUUAGAUAUAGUUCCAAACAAAAAUUUCCAACUUAUUUUUGAAUAGUCAAAUAUUGCUAAUAUAAAUUAUGUAUCUGAAAUAGAGUAAGUUGAGAUUAUUUACUCUGAAAUAUAGUUGAGAUUAUUUACUAAUUUAUUAUUCUUAAUUUUCCGCAAUCUAGUAACAUUUGUGAAAAAGUGAAAUGGUAGUUGCUGGGUAUAAAUAAUGUAUUAAUUCACCAGGCUAUUAAAUAUGUCUUAAAAUAAACAUGUCAUUAUUUGAUCAGAACAGUUGCUUUACUGUUAUUUUUAAACAGUGGCAAGUAAUUUUUUAUUAAAAGUAUAACUCAAAAACAUUAACUAUAUAUGCUGUUUGCAGAUGACAUGAUUGUAUAUCUAGAAAACCCCUGCGUCUCAGCCCAAAAUCUCCUUAAGCUGAUAAGCAAAUUCAGCAAAGUCUCAGGAUACAAAAUCAAUGUGCAAAAAUCACAAGCAUUCUUAUACACCAAUAACAAACAGAGAGCCAAAUCAUGAGUGAACUCCCAUUCACAAUUGCUUCAAAGAGAAUAAAAUACUUAGGAAUCCAACUUACAAGGGACAAAGGGACAUGAAGGACCUCUUCAAGGAGAACUACAAACCACUGCUCAAGGAAAUAAAAGAGGAUACAAACAAAUGGAAGAACAUUCCAUGCUCAUGGGUAGGAAGAAUCGAUAUCAUGAAAAUGGCCAUACUGCCCAAAGUAAUUUAUAGAUUCAAUGCCAUCCCCAUCUAGCUACCAAUGACUUUCUUCACAGAAUUGGAAAAAACUACUUUAAAGUUCAUAUGGAAUCAAAAAAGAGCCUGCAUUGCCAAGUCAAUCCUAAGCCAAAAGAACAAAGCUGGAGGCAUCACACUACCUGACUUCAAACUAUACUACAAGGCUACAGUAACCAAAACAGCAUGGUACUGGUACCAAAACAGGGAUAUAGACCAAUGGAACAGAACACAGCUCUCAGAAAUAAUGCCACAUAUCUACAACUAUCUGAUCUUUGACAAACCUGAGAAAAACAAGCAAUGGGGAAAGGAUUCCCUAUUUAAUAAAUGGUGCUGGGAAAACUGGCUAGCCAUAUGUAGAAAGCUGAAACUGGAUCCCUUCCUUACACCUUAUACAAAAAUUAAUUUAAGAUGGAUUAAAGACUUAAAUGUUAAACCUAAAACCAUAAAAACCCUAGAAGAAAACCUAGGCAAUACCAUUCAAUACAUAGGCAUGGGCAAGGACUUCAUGUCUAAAACACCAAAAGCAAUGGCAACAAAAGCCAAAAUUGACAAAUGGGAUCUAACUAAACUCAAGAGCUUCUGCACAGCAAAAGAAACUACCAUCAGAGUGAACAGGAAACCUGCAGAAUGGGAGAAAAUGUUUGCAAUCUACUCAUCUGACAAAGGGCUAAUAUCCAGAAUCUACGAUGAACUCAAACAAAUUUACAAGAAAAAAACAACCCCAUGAACAAGUGGGCAAAGGAUAUGAACAGACACUUCUCAAAAGAAGACAUUUAUGCAGCCAACAGACAC